ACACUAUCAUUAACUGAAUCCAUAGGUUAAUGAGGCGAACCGGGGGAACUGAAACAUCUAAGUACCCCGAGGAAAAGAAAUCAACCGAGAUUCCCCCAGUAGCGGCGAGCGAACGGGGAGCAGCCCAGAGCCUGAAUCAGUGUGUGUGUUAGUGGAAGCGUCUGGAAAGGCGCGCGAUACAGGGUGACAGCCCCGUACACAAAAAUGCACAUACUGUGAGCUCGAUGAGUAGGGCGGGACACGUGGUAUCCUGUCUGAAUAUGGGGGGACCAUCCUCCAAGGCUAAAUACUCCUGACUGACCGAUAGUGAACCAGUACCGUGAGGGAAAGGCGAAAAGAACCCCGGCGAGGGGAGUGAAAAAGAACCUGAAACCGUGUACGUACAAGCAGUGGGAGCCUCUUUAUGGGGUGACUGCGUACCUUUUGUAUAAUGGGUCAGCGACUUAUAUUCUGUAGCAAGGUUAACCGAAUAGGGGAGCCGAAGGGAAACCGAGUCUUAACUGGGCGUUAAGUUGCAGGGUAUAGACCCGAAACCCGGUGAUCUAGCCAUGGGCAGGUUGAAGGUUGGGUAACACUAACUGGAGGACCGAACCGACUAAUGUUGAAAAAUUAGCGGAUGACUUGUGGCUGGGGGUGAAAGGCCAAUCAAACCGGGAGAUAGCUGGUUCUCCCCGAAAGCUAUUUAGGUAGCGCCUCGUGAAUUCAUCUCCGGGGGUAGAGCACUGUUUCGGCAAGGGGGUCAUCCCGACUUACCAACCCGAUGCAAACUGCGAAUACCGGAGAAUGUUAUCACGGGAGACACACGGCGGGUGCUAACGUCCGUCGUGAAGAGGGAAACAACCCAGACCGCCAGCUAAGGUCCCAAAGUCAUGGUUAAGUGGGAAACGAUGUGGGAAGGCCCAGACAGCCAGGAUGUUGGCUUAGAAGCAGCCAUCAUUUAAAGAAAGCGUAAUAGCUCACUGGUCGAGUCGGCCUGCGCGGAAGAUGUAACGGGGCUAAACCAUGCACCGAAGCUGCGGCAGCGACACUAUGUGUUGUUGGGUAGGGGAGCGUUCUGUAAGCCUGUGAAGGUGUACUGUGAGGUAUGCUGGAGGUAUCAGAAGUGCGAAUGCUGACAUAAGUAACGAUAAAGCGGGUGAAAAGCCCGCUCGCCGGAAGACCAAGGGUUCCUGUCCAACGUUAAUCGGGGCAGGGUGAGUCGACCCCUAAGGCGAGGCCGAAAGGCGUAGUCGAUGGGAAACAGGUUAAUAUUCCUGUACUUGGUGUUACUGCGAAGGGGGGACGGAGAAGGCUAUGUUGGCCGGGCGACGGUUGUCCCGGUUUAAGCGUGUAGGCUGGUUUUCCAGGCAAAUCCGGAAAAUCAAGGCUGAGGCGUGAUGACGAGGCACUACGGUGCUGAAGCAACAAAUGCCCUGCUUCCAGGAAAAGCCUCUAAGCAUCAGGUAACAUCAAAUCGUACCCCAAACCGACACAGGUGGUCAGGUAGAGAAUACCAAGGCGCUUGAGAGAACUCGGGUGAAGGAACUAGGCAAAAUGGUGCCGUAACUUCGGGAGAAGGCACGCUGAUAUGUAGGUGAAGCGACUUGCUCGUGGAGCUGAAAUCAGUCGAAGAUACCAGCUGGCUGCAACUGUUUAUUAAAAACACAGCACUGUGCAAACACGAAAGUGGACGUAUACGGUGUGACGCCUGCCCGGUGCCGGAAGGUUAAUUGAUGGGGUUAGCGGUAACGCGAAGCUCUUGAUCGAAGCCCCGGUAAACGGCGGCCGUAACUAUAACGGUCCUAAGGUAGCGAAAUUCCUUGUCGGGUAAGUUCCGACCUGCACGAAUGGCGUAAUGAUGGCCAGGCUGUCUCCACCCGAGACUCAGUGAAAUUGAACUCGCUGUGAAGAUGCAGUGUACCCGCGGCAAGACGGAAAGACCCCGUGAACCUUUACUAUAGCUUGACACUGAACAUUGAGCCUUGAUGUGUAGGAUAGGUGGGAGGCUUUGAAGUGUGGACGCCAGUCUGCAUGGAGCCGGCCUUGAAAUACCACCCUUUAAUGUUUGAUGUUCUAACGUUGGCCCCUGACCGGGGUUGCGGACAGUGUCUGGUGGGUAGUUUGACUGGGGCGGUCUCCUCCUAAAGAGUAACGGAGGAGCACGAAGGUUGGCUAAUCCUGGUCGGACAUCAGGAGGUUAGUGCAAUGGCAUAAGCCAGCUUGACUGCGAGCGUGACGGCGCGAGCAGGUGCGAAAGCAGGUCAUAGUGAUCCGGUGGUUCUGAAUGGAAGGGCCAUCGCUCAACGGAUAAAAGGUACUCCGGGGAUAACAGGCUGAUACCGCCCAAGAGUUCAUAUCGACGGCGGUGUUUGGCACCUCGAUGUCGGCUCAUCACAUCCUGGGGCUGAAGUAGGUCCCAAGGGUAUGGCUGUUCGCCAUUUAAAGUGGUACGCGAGCUGGGUUUAGAACGUCGUGAGACAGUUCGGUCCCUAUCUGCCGUGGGCGCUGGAGAACUGAGGGGGGCUGCUCCUAGUACGAGAGGACCGGAGUGGACGCAUCACUGGUGUUCGGGUUGUCAUGCCAAUGGCACUGCCCGGUAGCUAAAUGCGGAAGAGAUAAGUGCUGAAAGCAUCUAAGCACGAAACUUGCCCCGAGAUGAGUUCUCCCUGACUCCUUGAGAGUCCUGAAGGAACGUUGAAGACGACGACGUUGAUAGGCCGGGUGUGUAAGCGCAGCGAUGCGUUGAGCUAACCGGUACUAAUGAACCGUGAGGCUUAACCUU
rnacentral:rRNA from 1 species